rnacentral:rRNA from 1 species
UACGGAGGGUGCAAGCGUUAUCCGGAUUCACUGGGUUUAAAGGGUGCGUAGGCGGUCUUUUAAGUCAGUGGUGAAAUCCUCCAGCUUAACUGGAGAACUGCCAUUGAUACUGGGAGACUUGAGUACAGACGAGGUAGGCGGAAUUGACAGUGUAGCGGUGAAAUGCAUAGAUAUUGUCAAGAACACCGAUUGCGAAGGCAGCUUACUAGACUGUAACUGACGCUGAGGCACGAAAGUGUGGGGAUCAAACAGG